GAUGAAGAACGUAGCGAAAUGCGAUAAGUAAUGUGAAUUGCAGAAUUCAGUGAAUCAUCGAAUCUUUGAACGCACAUUGCGCCCACCAGCAUUCUGGCGGGCAUGCCUGUUCGAGCGUCAUUUCAACCCUCAAGCUCUGCUUGGUGUUGGGGCCCUACGGUUGACGUAGGCCCUUAAAGGUAGUGGCGGACCCUCUCGGAGCCUCCUUUGCGUAGUAACUAACGUCUCGCAUUGGGAUUCGGAGGGACUCUUGCCGUAAAACCCCCAAAUUUUCUAAUGGUUGACCUCGGAUCAGGUAGGAAUACCCGCUGAACUUAAGCAUAUCAAUAAGCGGAGGA
rnacentral:misc_RNA from 1 species